AGUGAACGCUGGCGGUAGGCCUAACACAUGCAAGUCGAACGGCAGCACAGUAAGAGCUUGCUCUUACGGGUGGCGAGUGGCGGACGGGUGAGGAAUGCAUCGGAAUCUACUUUUUCGUGGGGGAUAACGUAGGGAAACUUACGCUAAUACCGCAUACGACCUACGGGUGAAAGCAGGGGAUCUUCGGACCUUGCGCGAUUGAAUGAGCCGAUGUCGGAUUAGCUAGUUGGCGGGGUAAAGGCCCACCAAGGCGACGAUCCGUAGCUGGUCUGAGAGGAUGAUCAGCCGCACUGGAACUCAGACACGGUCCAGACUCCUACGGGAGGCAGCAGUGGGGAAUAUUGGACAAUGGGCGCAAGCCUGAUCCAGCCAUACCGCGUGGGUGAAGAAGGCCUUCGGGUUGUAAAGCCCUUUUGUUGGGAAAGAAAGGCAGCAGGUUAAUACCCCGCUGUUCUGACGGUACCCAAAGAAUAAGCACCGGCUAACUUCGUG
rnacentral:rRNA from 1 species